AUUGUGGACGACGACGAUCUAAUCUCCUACAUCAUUGCCGGCCUUGAUGAAGACUUUGAGCUGGUGAUCUCCUCCAUCGUCAGCAAGGAAUCAAUGACGGUGGGAGAAACCUUUGCUUAGCUUCUUACCUUCGAGU
rfam:Oryza punctata chromosome 6, whole genome shotgun sequence.